UCAUAUUACAAUAAGAAAAAGUAGCUCGAGAAAGAUAUGGAUUAUCAGUGUGAGAAGAGUUUGAUAAGAAUAUUUGAGAAAUGAUAGCAAAUGUCUCUCAUCUAAAACUUAUUGUAGUGCUGAUCAUACUUUGAGAGAAAUGGCAACCUGAAGUAUUCCAUAAAAUAUGCAGUGCUCAUUUUGUGCGAAACGUGAGGAAUAAUGAUCAUGAGAGAACUUCAUUUAACCCAAAGAUUUGUAGAGAAGUAUAAAAAAACGGAUACCUAAUUCCUCUA